UGGCUGUAUCCUUGAGCUUUAUGGAGCUAC
rnacentral:piRNA from 1 species